rnacentral:rRNA from 1 species
AUAACGGUCCUAAGGUAGCGAAAUUCCUUGUCAGGUAAGUUCUGACCCGCACGAAUGGCGUAAUGACUUGGGCACUGUCUCAACUGCAAAUCCGGCGAAGUUGUAGUGCGAGUGAAGAUGCUCGCUACCCGCGAUUGGACGGAAAGACCCCGUAGAGCUUUACUGCAGCUUAGCAUUGAAUUCCGGUAUUGUCUGUACAGGAUAGGUGGGAGACUGGGAAACUAGGGCGUCAGCCUUAGUGGAGUCAACCUUGGGAUACCACCCUGACAGUACUGGGGUUCUAACAGGACGCCAUGAAUCUGGUGACUGGACAUUGUUAGGUGGGCAGUUUGACUGGGGCGGUCGCCUCCUAAAAAGUAACGGAGGCGCCCAAAGGUUCCCUCAGAACGGUCGGAAAUCGUUCGUAGAGUGCAAAGGCAGAAGGGAGCCUGACUGCGAGACAUACAAGUCGAGCAGGGACGAAAGUCGGGCUUAGUGAUCCGGUGGUACCUCGUGGGAGGGCCAUCGCUCAACGGAUAAAAGCUACCUCGGGGAUAACAGGCUGAUCUCCCCCAAGAGUCCACAUCGACGGGGAGGUUUGGCACCUCGAUGUCGGCUCAUCGCAUCCUGGGGCUGUAUUCGGUCCCAAGGGUUUGGCUGUUCGCCAAUUAAAGCGGUACGCGAGCUGGGUUCAGAACGUCGUGAGACAGUUCGGUCCCUAUCCGGCGUGGGCGUAGGAUAUCUGAGAGGAGCUGUCCUUAGUACGAGAGGACCGGGAUGGACUGACCUCUGGUGCACCAGUUGUUCCGCCAGGAGCAUGGCUGGGUAGCUAAGUCGGGAAGGGAUAAACGCUGAAAGCAUCUAAGCGUGAAGCCUCCCUCAAGAUGAGAUUUCCCAUAGCAUAAGCUAGUAAGACCCCUUGAAGAACACAAGGUUGAUAGGUCAGAGGUGUAAGUGCGGUAACGUAUUUAGCUGACUGAUACUAAUAGGUCGAGGGCUUGACCAA